UACGUAGGGGGCAAGCGUUGUCCGGAUUUAUUGGGCGUAAAGAGCGUGUAGGCGGUUAUACAGGUCCGCUGUGAAAACUGGAGGCUUAACCUCCAGACGUCGGUGGAAACCGUAUAACUAGAGUCCGGAAGAGGAGAGUGGAAUUCCUGGUGUAGCGGUGAAAUGCGCAGAUAUCAGGAAGAACACCCGUGGCGGAAGGCGGCUCUCUGGGACGGUACUGACGCUGAGACGCGAAAGCGUGGGGAGCGAACAGG
rnacentral:rRNA from 1 species